GUGAGGAAUAUUGGUCAAUGGACGAGAGUCUGAACCAGCCAAGUCGCGUGAAGGAAGACGGUUCUAUGAAUUGUAAACUUCUUUUGUGCAGGAAUAAAGUGGGUUACGUGUAACCUUUUGUAUGUACUGUACGAAUAAGGAUCGGCUAACUCCGUGCCAGCAGCCGCGGUAAUACGGAGGAUCCGAGCGUUAUCCGGAUUUAUUGGGUUUAAAGGGUGCGUAGGUGGAUUGAUAAGUCAGCGGUGAAAGUUUGCAGCUUAACUGUAAAAUUGCCGUUGAAACUGUCGGUCUUGAGUGCAAAUGAGGUAGGCGGAAUGUGUUGUGUAGCGGUGAAAUGCUUAGAUAUAACACAGAACUCCGAUUGCGAAGGCAGCUUACUGGGAUGCAACUGACACUGAUGCACGAAAGCGUGGGUAUCAAACAGGAUUAGAAACCCCGGUAGUCC
rnacentral:rRNA from 1 species